UCAGGUUUGAAUUGUACUUGCGAGUCAUUUUUACGUUGCCGUUUAUCUCCAUCUGUAAGUGGACUUCUUACUGGAAAAGAUGGCAACUUUUGAAUUUUAUAACGUCUUGGAAGAAUAUUUGUUGCCUGAAAAUUUUAACUCCAGUCGAAUGAAGAGGGAGCGAAAUGAAAUGUGACGUAUGACUGUGAACUUUAUAAUGGAUAUGUAUAGCUUUUUGAAGCCUGGUGGUAACCAGCCUUGCAAGAGGCUGAACAGAUGCCAGUGUACCCGAAUUCUGAGACACAAAUGGAUGUUCUUUUCUUCUGCUUUUAAGAUUUCCAAUUUGGUAUGAUGUGCAGUUCAUGUUAGAUUUGCUAUUUCUACAGUUACAGUGAAGUAGAAGAGUCCGGACGUGUUACGGGGCAGCAGUUAAAGAAGAAGAAAGGAGAGAUGUGUGCCCUGUUGAAGUAGUGGGUGACCCUCCUGCCCGGCACUUCUAGAAUCCUCCAUCUAAACCUCUGCUCUGAUCUGCUGUGCCUUUGCCAAGUGAUCAGAAGUUAAUUGCAGUGGUGCCCCCCUGCGUCUCCACCGUCUGUUACAUCAACUCCAACUGCCUGUGUUGCCAGAGAGAAACAAAGUUCACAAGAUGUCCUGAAAUGGAAUUAGGAUUGGACUGAGAAGGCC